CAGCAGCCACGGUAAUACGGAGGGGGCUAGCGUUGUUCGGAAUUACUGGGCGUAAAGCGCACGUAGGCGGCUUGGUAAGUUAGAGGUGAAAGCCUGGAGCUCAACUCCAGAAUUGCCUUUAAGACUGCCGAGCUAGCAGGUGAGAGAGGUAAGUGGAAUUCCGAGUGUAGAGGUGAAAUUCGUAGAUAUUCGGAAGAACACCAGUGGCGAAGGCGGCUUACUGGCUCAUACUGGACGCUGAGGCGCGAAAGCGUGGGGAGCAAACAGGAUUAGAUACCCGCGUAGUCCCUGUCUCUUAUAC
rnacentral:rRNA from 1 species